UGGGGAAUAUUGCGCAAUGGGCAAAAGCCUGACGCAGCGACGCCUCGUGAGGGAUGAAGGUCUUCGGAUCGUAAACCUCUGUCAAGAGGGAAGAAACCUUUGGAUUCGAACAGGGUCUAAAGCUGACGGUACCUCUAAAGGAAGCACCGGCUAACUCCGUGCCAGCAGCCGCGGUAAUACGGAGGGUGCAAGCGUUAAUCGGAAUCACUGGGCGUAAAGCGCUCGUAGGCUGUUUGGUAAGUCAGACGUGAAAGCCCACGGCUUAUCCGUGGAACUGCGUUUGAUACUGCCAGACUUGAGUGUCGGAGAGGGUGGCGGAAGUCCGGGUGUAGGAGUGAAAUCCGUAGAUAUCCGGAGGAACACGAGUGACGAGGGCGGCCACCUGGACGAGAACUGACGCUGAGGAGCGAAAGCGUGGGUAGCAAACA
rnacentral:rRNA from 1 species